GCAAGCCUGAUCCAGCCACGCCGCGUGAGUGAUGAAGGCCUUAGGGUUGUAAAGCUCUUUUGUCCGGGACGAUAAUGACGGUACCGGAAGAAUAAGCCCCGGCUAACUUCGUGCCAGCAGCCGC
rnacentral:rRNA from 1 species